CAUACGCGUUCAGAGUUUGAUCCUGGCUCAGGAUGAACGCUGGCGGCGUGCAUAACACAUUCAAGUCGAACGGAGUUGUUUAGGUUAAUCCUUCGGGAAGCGCCCGGACAACUUAGUGGCGGACGGGUGAGUAACGCGUGAGCAACCUGCCUCUGUAUGUGGGAUAACGUCGGGAAACUGACGCUAAUACCGCAUGAAGCAUACUGACCGCAUGAUCGGUAUGCCAAAGAUUUAUUGUACAGAGAUGGGCUCGCGUCUGAUUAGGUAGUUGGUGAGGUAACGGCCCACCAAGCCGACGAUCAGUAGCCGGACUGAGAGGUUGAACGGCCACAUUGGAACUGAGAUACGGUCCAG
rnacentral:rRNA from 1 species